UAGAAAGUAGUAUAACGGAAUUACAAAGAUCUUUGACUUCUUAAAUAUAAGUUCAAUUCUUAUCUUUCUAA
rnacentral:tRNA from 1 species